GCGAAUGCAGAGGCCUGCCUUACGGCGCCUCGAUUCCACUCAUACACACCUUUACUACGUGAACUGUCGAGCCGGAGACGACAUGGGCUGUCUCUGCAUGGCCUGUGGAGGCUCUGGCUCUUAUCCUUCAAACUCCAUAAGUCUUUGUAUGUGCAAACUGUGCGGAAUAGCAUGCAGUA
rnacentral:misc_RNA from 1 species